ensembl:lncRNA
GUCAAAUCUGCAGCUGAAAAACCCAGCUUUCUGUAUUUCCGGCCUCGCCCUUGAUUAGGAUACCUCCCUGCUGUUCCCACCCCCACUCCUAUAUCUCUCCCUGGGGCUAGUGGACCUAGAGGGUGGACUUCUCCACUGUCUGGUCAGGCAGGGGGCCCAGCUGAACUUGUCCUGACACUGCCCUCUUAGAAGCCGGGAGAUUUCAGGAAAAACAAGUUGCUCAGAGCUUCUGCAGAAAAGUCUCACUUUCUGUUUCAGACGGGAAGAGCUGCCUUUCUCACAGUUUGGUGUAGACAGUCAGAGGAUUUGAGGGCUUCCCUGGUGGCUCAGUGGUAAAGAAGCUGCCUGUCAACGCAGGUGACUCGAGUUCAGUUCCUGGAUUGGGA